UAUCUCUGUAGAGUCUGCAUAUCAAUAAGCGGAGGAAAAGAAACUAACAAGGAUUCCCUUAGUAACGGCGAGUGAAGCGGGAAGAGCUCAAAUUUGAAAUCUUCAAGGUUUUACCUUGACGAAUUGUAGUUUAAAGAAGUGUUUUCUGCUGAGGUUUUGGUAAAGUAGAAGGACAUCAUAGAGGGUGAGAAUCCCGUAUUUGACCAUUAUUUUCCAGCUUUGUGAUACACUUUCAAAGAGUCGGAUUGUUUGGGAAUGCAGUCCAAAAUGGGUGGUAAAUUUCAUCUAAAGCUAAAUAUUGGCGAGAGACCGAUAGCGAACGAGUACCGUGAGGGAAAGAUGAAAAGAACUUUGAAAAGAGAGUUAAACAGUACGUGAAAUUGUCAAAAGGGAAGCGUUUGACACCAGUGUUGUUUUCUCGAAAAUCAAUUAAAAAAGAUUGGAUUUUGUGUUGUAUUGACUUUAUCAGCUUUCAGCACUCUUUUCUUGUCUUUUUUAAUGCACUUUUCGUUUAACAAGUCAACAUCAAUUUCUUUUGUUGUAAAAGGGUCAUUGGAAGGUGGCUUUCUUUUCGGAGAAAGUGUUUAUAGCCUUUGGCUUCUGCAAUCGGAGAGAUUGAGGUCUGCAGCGUAGAUCCUUCGGGGUUAGAUACAUUUGUGCUAAGUUAUAGCCUUUCAUAGACAACCUGUUGACUAUGAUCAGUCAUGUAGCUUACUCGCUUAUGCUAUUUUACCUACGCUUAGGAUGUUGAUGUGAUACUGCGAGCA
rnacentral:rRNA from 1 species